UCCAGCAGCUGGAACAGAAAAAUAGAUGAAGGAAACAUCAGACUGAAAUCAUGGAGCCAAACACCAGAUGGAUGUUGGACAGACUGACAGUCCUCUGGUCUACAAAGUGCAGCAUGAAGGUGACUUUGAACAGAACUCAUGGAAAAGUAGUUCUUGUACAUGUACAGACCAUAUAUAUGGAGUCAAACACAGCAUGAAGCUGUGUUUGUUUCUGCUGGGCAGACAGACCACUGGGAACCUCUGAGCUCUGCUGGUCCACUCUGUGGAGGAACCAGGAACAAUUAGGAAGUCAGGAAAUAUUCAUCCAUCAGUAUUCACAGAUGGAAUCACCAAGAGUUUGACAUUAAAAUUCCAUAAAGCAGAAAAACAGAGCAUCACAUAAAAAUAAUACAAAGAAGUUAGGAGGAAGAUUAACUACAACAAUGGAGACCAGUAACACCAGAAUCACCCAGUAGACAUUUCAAAAAGUUGGUACUGAAAGUGGACUUCUAACAGUCCACACUGUCAUUAGAUCUGAUGCUGGUGGAGACAGUUUCCCAGAGGUUGGGGACAGUGGAAAUGAAGGUUCUGUCCACACAGGUCUUCAGGAUAGUGUGGGACAUCCAUCAGGUUCCUAUGAAUAGAUCUGAGGUGAUGUGGACAUGGAGGAGGUCAUGGAAAUGUCUUCCACAGUCUGACAUGGAGCCAGGAAGCAGAAGAACAUCAUCAUCAACACCCCAGAGAUGAAGAUAAGAUGGUGAUUUCAAUAGAACAGAGCAGCUGAUUUUUGUA